rnacentral:ncRNA from 2 species
UCGUGCGGCUAGGGGCGCCCAAACGGGCUGAGAGUGACCCUUGAACCUGAUCCGGUUAGAACCGGCGUAGGAAAGCAGGCACAUUCACAC